CCCCUAGAUGUUCUGGGCCGCACGCGCGCUACACUGAACAGUUCAACAAGUCUUAACCUUGGCCGAUAGGUCUGGGUAAUCUUUGAACGCUAUUCGUGAUUGGGAUAGACCUUUGCAAUUAUGGGUCUUCAACGAGGAAUUCCUAGUAAACGCAAGUCAUCAGCUUGCAUUGAUUACGUCCCUGCCCUUUGUACACACCGCCCGUCGCACCUACCGAUUGAAUGGUCCGGUGAAAUCUCGGGACGGCGGCUUGGUCGCUUGCGUCCGACUGCUGAAACUUGAUUAAACCAUAUCAUUUAGAGGAAGGUGAANUCGUANCA
rnacentral:rRNA from 1 species